rnacentral:rRNA from 1 species
UACGAAGGGUGCAAACGUUGCUCGGAAUUAUUGGGCGUAAAGCGCACGUAGGCGGCUUAGCAAGUCGGAAGUGAAAUCCCUCGGCUCAACCAAGGAAGUGCUUUCGAAACUGCUGAGCUUGAGUACUAAAGAGGAUCGCGGAAUUCCCGGUGUAGAGGUGAAAUUCGUAGAUAUCGAGAGGAACAUCGGUGGCGAAGGCGGCCUUCUGGACAGCGACUGACGCUGAGACGCGAAAGCGUGGGGAGCAAACAGG